rnacentral:rRNA from 1 species
UACGUAGGGCGCAAGCGUUGUCCGGAAUCAUUGGGCGUAAAGCGCGUGUAGGCGGUCCGGUAAGUCCGCUGUGAAAGUCGGGGGCUCAACCCUCGAAUGCCGGUGGAAACUGUCGGGCUAGAGUACGGAAGAGGCGAGUGGAAUUCCUGGUGUAGCGGUGAAAUGCGCAGAUAUCAGGAGGAACACCAAUUGCGAAGGCAGCUCGCUGGGACGUUACUGACGCUGAGACGCGAAAGCGUGGGGAGCAAACAGG